rnacentral:misc_RNA from 1 species
GAAGCCAGUGGCUGAAGCGAGGCGCCGACAGGAUCUGGAAGUAACAGGGAGAAGGGAACAGAGGCUGCUGAAGACCUGAGCAAUGGCGGUUCCAGAAGGCCGCAGCAUCUACGAGGUCCUUGGCACCGUCCUCUACCGCACCGUACCCGUCAACAUCGACGAUGCAAACGUGCAGCGGAAGCAGCAGCAGCAGUGGGAUGAUUUCAACGUCCCUCUUGACUACGACACAGCGCUGGCGCUGCGCGAGAUCGAUGAGGCGACCAUGGCGGCGCGUUACCUGGCUACCAAAGCAAGGGGUGCCGCUUCCGCCACUGCUGGCGGUGCCACAUCCCGUGAUGGGGCCAUGGUGGCGGACAGGGUGUCUUCUGCAACAACAACGCGUGCGUCGGCGGCCGCGACGUCUACAGUGCCAGUGCCGCCUCAGCGAUCUAGCACGCCGUCCUUUACGUCGGCGCGCCAUGGUGGCUCAGGCAGCGGCGGAGGACAGCUUUCCGCUGCGAAGACGUCGCAGUGUGCUCUCAGAUUCGGAAGUCCGAGCGAGAAUUCCUUGGCGACCAACUUCAGAAGCAGUGUAGAGGUUGCAGGGGGCCAGCGGAACGCGAGCGAAGCUGUAGACAUUGCAACACAGAACGCCUAUCUCGUUAAGGCACGCAUGAACGCUGCUGCUGCGGCGAAGUCAACCGGCAGUGGUACUGGUGUGGUUCCAGCUGCAGCGCGGUCGAGCCGUGAUGGCAUCGGCGCGAUGACGGUGGCGCAAGCAAUGGAGAUCUUGUUCCCUGUAGAGGCGGUGGGCUACGGCGGUGGUAGCAGAGAGGAUUCCGCCAAAGACGGCGAAGAAAAGGCGAGUGAUGGCGCGCCGACACCUCCGCUCUCCGCUUCCACAUCUCGGGUUCUUAGCUCAGCAACAGCCGCUGCGGCCAGAAGUGCCGCCAGCACGCCGGUGAUGUGGCGCAGAGCCGACGUGGCUCACCUGUCUCGCCUGGACGUAGUUCUCCUCUACAAGCACCUUGAACGCCGCUGCGCCUGCGAGUCGGCGCGCCCUCGGGGGGUGGUGUGCCCGAAUCGGGAAUGCAUCUACAACGACGGCCUCCGCGAGCUGAUCCGGCAAGUGACCCUCCUGUGCCCGGAGCGCGGCCUUCUGCUCGACGAGUUAGCCCGUCGCAUGCGCCAAGCGAUCGAGACAUACGACGUGUUGCUCGACAGCGCAAACCAGUACGCGGUGCGCAAGAGCACCGAGCGUGACCUGCAUCAGUACCUGUUUGCGGAGAAGACCGACCUUGAGACGGAGGUGCGCCGUCGUGAGCAUCGCGUCAACGAGUGGCGCGCCAAGUACGCCGGCCUACAAAAACGCUUUCAAGAGCAGCAAGAGGCGGACAGAAAGCUGCACGCAGAGGAAAUCGCCUACGCCAAGCGUGCCAACCAGCAACUCGUGAGCGAAAUCAAGCGCCUCGCCUCGGAGGCGGGGAAGGCCAAGGGGGCCUGAAACGUCUGCUAUAGAUUUCACGCCGGCGUGGCUUCGACGCCGCGUAUGGAACGUAUGGCGCACGGCUGGUCUGGAUGUAUACGACACACAACAUACACACACACAGAGACAGAGGUGUGUGCAUGUGUGUUGUUUUGUGUUGUGUGUCGGGACUCUCUUGCGCUUCCUGAUUUCUUUGGUCUCCUUUCCGUUUCCGUUGUUCUUCCUCCUCCACUUAGUUUGCUCAUCAUCGUCGGCUUUGCCGAGCUCGCUGGUGUGCUGUUGUGCAUAUUUGCGUGUGCGUGAGUGCGUGUGCGUGUGUGCAUGUCUCUACGGAUUCGCCCUACCUCAGCGCCACCGCUGCCACCCCGCCCCAUCUCUCUGUCGCUCCUUCCUCUUCCGCCUCCAUGCAAGGAAAGAGAACAAGAGCGAGAGAUGGACAGCAGAGGCAGCAGAGGCGAUGUGCACGUCCGUGAGUGUGCGAUGUAAUCUAGGCGUUGGACUUCGGCUACGGCCGCUGUUGUUUUCCGAGCACUGCCAAAAGAACGUAUUACAGCAGCACGUCUGCAAACUUAGUCGCAGCGACGGAUGCCGUGCUGUGUCUGGGCGGAGGGUCACGCAUGUGCACAUCCGUUCACGCAGACGUGCAUUUCGGUGUGUUGGGGAGGGGAGAUAAGGGGAGGGGGCGGAACGUAUAUGCAACUGAUCGUGCUUUGGGCACGGCCUUCAUGUGCAACUGGUGCUGCAAUGCCCUUCAUGAACUUGUGCAGCAGCGCAGCACGCGUGCACUCUUCUCUUGGUAUCCAUGUGUGUCUGUGUACUUUCCCACCCGCCUGCCCACUCUUUUCACGGGUAUCCGUUUCCCAUUCGACGCACCACCACUAUCCCUCUCUCUCCUCUUCUUCCUCCUCCCCUGUGGCGCCAUGCUGUUGCUAUCUCUAUAUCCCUGUCCAACACACAAACCCACGCUAAACCGUCACAG